GCUGAGACACGUUUCGACAAACGAUAAGUUUCAUAAUAGUUCCGCGAGACAGCGCUGCUUUCUAUGCGCUGUCACCAAGGCAAACUUUUUCCUUGCGAAAUAAUGGUCAGCGGUAUUAUUUCGCACGGAGGCUCGCGAAAUUUUGACAGGUUGCAAUGAAAAAAUAUAAGAAAACACAAGAUUGGCAAUUUUUUUCAUCGCAACCUGUCAAAAUUUCGUGGUUUAGAAAUUCAAUAUUUCGAAUUUGAAUGCACACCCAAACAAAGCAAAUCAGCUCAACUAAUCUUGUCUCAACAUCCUGGAUCUGGCAAUCAGCCAACCAACAUUAAAUCGAUACAACCGCAGCAGUACCAACUACUCCAAAUCCAGCAACAGCCCCUCAAAAAAGGACCACAUAGCAAUUACUGCUCAAACGAACAACAGGAGUUUACGAAUGAUGGACACAUCGGAAAACAUUUCAUCGGCACAUUCUGCCUUAAAACAUGUCUGCCACUAUUUUUGAAAAUAUCACUGCCUACACAGUGCUCGUGAUUCCAUUCCAGCAGCAGCAAGCAAUCACUAUUCGAGUGCUUAUCGCCAACAUUUCACAGCAAGCUCAGCAGCAGAACCACCUUCAACCACAACAUCAGAAAAUUAAGAUUUCUUCCAGACCAUGACCAUCAUCCUAAAGGUCGGUAGCAAUAACGUUCAACCGACGGUACAACCUGGUCAGCAACCGCAAUUAGUGCAAUAGAUCCAACCCAAAUGUAGAUUUACCAACUGCAAAAAAGAUAGCAACAGCACAUUCAAACACAGUAGCAGCAGCAUACUAUACUGUACCAUGCGGUGUGCAGGACUUUUUUAUUCAGUUGGUGCGGCAAGAUCGAACACCAACAACAUAAUAUCAUGGUAAUCACCCAGCAAGAGAACGCAGUGAUAAUGGGCCAACAGAAAACACAACAUCAAGAUGCUCGGAAAGGACUUUCUCUUUCGAACAAACAUAAUGGCACGUCAUCUUCAAUCGGCUAACCGUUUGGAAUAAGCGCUCAUCAUCGGUUUCAUGGCAGGGAAGUGAGCAGGCAAAAGAAGGCAUCGUUUUUUCCGCAAGGUCGCUCUGGUCAAAAUUUCAGCGAAUUGCAAGGAAUAAACCACCCGAGGGACAGUACCCGUGCUGAUUCAGGACGAUUUCCCAUACUUUGUACCUUGCUAUUGAAUUUUAAUACCCGAUCGAAACGAUGGCAAGCGCUGCCGAUAACUGGGUCAAAAAGACGACGGAUCAAGAAAUUUCUGCACUCGGUUAGCGAACUGAGUACAUAUCAUCAAGGAUAAGGAUUCAGAGCCGGCGGCUGGCAGUCCAGAGAAAGAGAAUGCGGAAAAACCUAGUCCACCGGCAGUAGAACCAAAGCUGCACCUGAUGUUUGGAGUUCGGUAGCUACAGAAAUUCUGACUCUAGCAGCUCCUGAAGAAAAACAAGCUGCAAGAGAAAAUGGAGAAACACCUUCCUCCGCGGAAGAUGCAGAGGCAUUCAACCCGGCGGAUGCAAGUUUGCUAAUGAAAGAUGUUCACUAAGGUCUAGUAGAAUCAAAGCUGGAUCUGAAGGUGCAGCGAAAGGAUUCUUCUUCGCCGGUUGGUUGGUUAAAACUUUCGAAGUUUUGCUCGUGAAGCCGGGAUUACUUCAGGGAGUCUAUGCGAUGGGUUUCAACGCCCUUCCAAGAUUCAGGAGAUGGCUCUGUUGGCCGGUCCGCCACGGAAUAAUCGCCCAGAGUCAGUCGGGAACAGGAAAAACCGCUGCCUUUGUGCUGGCAAUGCACAGUUGAGUCCAUCAGUUAAAAAACUAUCUGCAGGCAAUUCAGAAGGGGGAAGUAGCUGCCAAAAUGGCAAAGUUUUGUCCGGAAAUCAAACUUCCUUACGCCGUUCGCGGUGAGGAGACCGUCAAAGGGGCGAAGCUGACUAAUCAUAUCAUCAUCGGAACACCCGGCAAGCUAAUUGACUGGGGUAUAAAGUUCAGGACGUACGACCUAGUUUUUCCUUUUUGUACUGGACGAGGCGGGUGUUAUGGUCGGUGUUCUUCUUGGCCACGUACGAGCGCGAGGUAAUGGAGUUUGCCGAGUACAUCGUACCCAAUCCGAUCGUCAUUCGGCAGGCGCGGGAGCAAGAAUCACUCGAUAACAUCAAACAGUACUACGUCAAGUUCCGCAACCAGAACGAGAAAUUGUGUGAUUACCGUCGGACAAGCGAUCAUUUUCUGCCAUAUGAUGUAUAGGACAGUUGUAAACGUCCAAGUAAACUUAUUUUCAGAACUGUUAAUCGAUCGAAACAGGUACGAAAAACGGCCGGUUGGUUGACCUACAGGAUGUCCCAGGAUGGUCACUCGGUAGCGGUACUGUCCGGUAAUCUAACGGUGGAGCAACGGUUGGAACGAACGUUUUGUCCAGGGGUAUCGACGUCGAACAGGUGACCAUUGUCGUCAACUUCGACCUGCCGAUGGAUUAGCAGGGACGAGCCGAUUGCGAAACGUAUCUACAUCGAAUUAGACGCACCGGUAGAUUCGGUAAGUGUGACUCAUUCUUGUGAUCCUAUAGAUUGUAUUUCUUCCCACUUCUUUAACAGAACGGAAUCACCAUCAACCUAGUGGGCAGUGAUCGAAACAUGAUGAUUUGCAGAUCAAUCAAAAAACACUUCCGGAAAGAUUCAGUUGCUAGACGCGGAGAACUCGGACGAAAUUGAAAAGAUCGCACCGUAAAGUGUUUUCGACCAGCUACUGGUCAUACUUGUUUUGAUUCUGAAUUUAUAAUUUUAUAUUUUUUUAAUUUACAAAUGUAACCAACAGGGUAUCGCAAGCUAAUAAAUUUACAAUUACAAUUACAAUCUCUA